rnacentral:tRNA from 1 species
NUGNCUUUUAAAUCGUGAGGGUUCAAGUCCCUCUAUCCCCAACUCUACU